rnacentral:tRNA from 1 species
ACUCUUUUAGUAUAAUUAGUACCGCUGACUUCCAAUCAGCCAGCUUCAGCGCCCAUCUGAAAAAGAGUA